AUAAAACAAGAACGAGACCAUGCUAAAAAACUGGACGAGAAUAGGAGGAGACUUAGAAGAGCAGCUGAGCGUCUCAGUGCCAGGAAAGAUGAUAUAGAGCAUGAAAUAAUGAAUAAAAGAAUCACGAAGACGACAACUCGUGAAUGGGAAGCUUGGGUUAAUGGUGUGGAAGAGAUCGGAGAAGAGGUGAAGAUUCUUGAGGCCAAAUAUAGAAAAUCCCGUAGAUUCCAUUAUAUAACGUGCGCUUUUCAGUCACGUGCAAAACUCAGCAGAGACAUGGAGACCAAGGCCGAGGAAAUCGAUUCUUUCACAAACCAAAUGAGUUCUGAUAAGGCAAUGGUUGACAGAGAACCAGUAGCGCCUGCGAGCCAUUCCUUUCGAAAGAAGGAGGAAUUGUCAUGGGUUAAGAACAACGUGGACAGGAUCUUGGAUUCCCUUGGUCAGGAGAAAAUGAAGAAAAUUGGGGUAUUCGCAUUUGCAGGGAUGGGCAAAAGUACUAUUUUUGAGAGCUUAUAUGAUAGGUCCCGCGAAAGUGGCUUGUUCCACCAUGUCAUUUUUGUAAAAGUUGAAGAGAAUGAUAGAGAGGAAAAGAUACGGCAAAGCAUUUUGGAGCAGUUGAACUUGAAACUGAAUGUGGGGGAAAUCAGAACCGCACAUCGAAUUGCACAUACAAUAUCUACUGCUCUGCACAACAGGAAGUAUUUGCUGAUGCUUGAUCAAGUUUCCGAGGAAAUUGAUCUGAAGGAAUUGGGAAUUUAUGACAGCCAUAGUGAUGGAAAAGUGGUGGUGGCUACAAGAUACAAAUCAGUUUGUGACAAUAUGAAUAUGAAUGAUUCCUGGGAACUAGAACAUAUGUCUGAAAGAGACGCAUUGGUGUUGUUCCGGCAAAUUGCAGGUGAAGCUGCAGAUUAUGAGCGCAAUAAACAUGAAGCCAAGCGGAUUGUGAAAGAGUGUGGAGGGAUGCCAGUGUUGAUAAAUGCUGUAGCUACAUAUUUGAAAAGUGAAGAAAAUGACGAGGUAUGGUCAGAUUGUUUGUGGAAGUUGCAGUCAUCCACAUAUGAUGAUGAUCUCGGACCGUUUGGUGAAUCAUAUAAUGUCUUCAAACUUGUCUACGAUGGAUUAAAUGAUUACAGGAAAAAAUGCUUCUUGUACGGGGCUCUGUAUCCCCUAGAUCAUCAGAUCUAUGAGGAUCAUUUGAUAGAGUGCUGGAGGGCUGAACAGUUUGUUCCUGCUACUGAAGGGAG
rnacentral:misc_RNA from 1 species